rnacentral:lncRNA from 1 species
CUCUUGCAGAUAACUCUGCAUAAUUGGUGAUUUCUGAUUGCCUGCCUGAAAUUCUUUCUUGAUGUUGGUUGUAAUCAUUGCCUGAUGGGAACAUUUCAUUCUCCAGCAUGUGUAGUCAUAAUUAGUUCAGAUUCCAUGUAAAGUUAAUCAACCCUGAGGGAGACUCCCCGGAUGUCACCAUGGAGGUAACAUCUAACAUUUUCGCUCUUUUACUUUGUUUGAUCGCAGUUGAAUAAGUGAUCAUCUUCUGUUUACACAACUAGCCUAGCAAAAUUGGACAUAUGAUGUGAAAUGCAAGCUGCAUCUUUGGCAGAUAUCUACACCUGGUUAUAGAUACGUGCUGAAUGUCAUUAUCAGAGAAAUGGGGUUAUUCUGAAUGAAAGAAAUGUGAACAAGAGGUUAGACUCAACGAGAUGAAAAGCAAAUAAGGCAGUGUUUGCAAGAAGUAAAAUGUGAAAUGUUGGAAAACAUGACAUCAACGUUGAGAUUAUGAUGCAAUUGAGGCCAACAUUAUUCUGGAUUCUAGACUGCAAAACAUGCCCAACACAUGUAAACUGGUACGUCUGGGAGACUACAAGUGAAAAAUUCUGCUGUUCUAUGCAGGGCACUCACCUGAUACCUGUGAUCAAACUGCUUCUCAUAAAAAAACUGCAACAGUUUGAAUAUCUCAAGGCUUGACAAAAGCUGGCUCCAGAAUAAGAAAUAAGAAACUCUCAAAAAUUCUGAAGGAACGGGAUACUUUCCAAAUACUAACAUGACAGGAGAAAGGUCUCUCAGGCACACUAGACUGUUGUCGGAAGAUAUCAGUGGGCUGCUGAAGCCAAAAAGAUUAGCAAAGUGCUGAGUAUUAUCAGAAAACAUUGUGCAUGCCUUGUAGGAUGACUUAGUGCCUUGGAAUAGAAUAGGGCAGAGAGCUCCGGUCAAUGGACCUUGGAAAUAUGCAGUAGACACAGAGGUAACUGGUAAAAAAGACUUGAGAUCAUUAAAUAAAGUGCAGAACAGGUGAGUGAUUUGUUUCUAUAAAAGAAGUGGACCAGAAGGAAGACUAUAUACCCAAAUCCCAGGAUUCGAGAACAAUGGGCAGCCCUUGAAUUGGCCAUGAGUUAAAACUUAUAAGUACUACCUGAGAGGCUGGCUCUCAUGAUGGCCACCGUGACCAGAGAAGGAGCCAGGCCCAGAGAUGCCGCUAAACCCACCAGAUGGCUCUGAAAAGCAAAGAUGGAAGUCAGAGGAGAAACCACAGUCAAUGACAAAAUGCACUUAAGGAAGAUACGGUCGGGAGGAGAGAAUAUUAAGAAGAGACAAAUUAUGUAGCCAGAAGAAGAGUGGGACUGUUUGAAAAUCCAACAGACAUUACUGUUCUAGUUCACAGCUUUUGUUAAUACAUAGGUUCCUGGCUGUCCUCCUGCACCCUAGAGCAUUUCAUUUUUUUUUUUUUCCCUAGAGCAUUUCAAAGGCAAUUUCCAGCAGCAUCUGUACCACAGGAGGGAGGAAUCAGAUCAUUUGAUGAAUGGAUGGUGCACAGUUGGGAGUGGUUUGAAUCACACUCUUCAUUUUGGUUUCUA